GUAGGUGGCAAGCGUUGUCCGGAAUUAUUGGGCGUAAAGCGCGCGCAGGCGGUUCUUUAAGUCUGAUGUGAAAGCCCACGGGCUCAACCGUGGAGGGUCAUUGGAAACUGGAGAACUUGAGUACAGAAGAGGAAAGCGGAAUUCCACGUGUAGCGGUGAAAUGCGUAGAGAUGUGGAGGAACACCAGUGGCGAAGGCGGCUUUCUGGUCUGUAACUGACGCUGAGGCGCGAAAGCGUGGGGAGCAAACAGGAUUAGAUACCCUGGUAGUCCACGCCGUAAACGAUGAGUGCUAAGUGUUUAGGGGGUUUCCGCCCCUUAGUGCUGCAGCUAACGCAUUAAGCACUCCGCCGUGGGGAGUACGGCCGCAAGGCUG
rnacentral:rRNA from 1 species